ensembl:lncRNA
AGGUUGUCCAAAGGGAGCAUGUACUUCUUCUCCUUUUCCUGGGAAAAGGGGGGAAAAACACGGAAUUCCCGGAUUCCCACCCUAAAUCCCAUUUUCCAUCCAGAAUUCCCAGAAUUUCCUCUCCAAAUCCCAUUUUUUCCCACCCAGAAUUCCCACAAUUCCCAAAAUUCCCUCUCCAAAUCCCAUUUUCCACCCAGCAUUCCCAGAAUUCCCAUUUCCCCCCCCAGAAUUCCCACCCCAAAUCCCAUUUUUCCCUCCCAGAAUUCCCAGAAUUCCCGGAAUUCCCGGAAUUCCCGGAAUUCCAGGCCCUACCUCCUCAUCCUUGUACCAGGAGAGCGACUCCGCCCUCAGCACGAACCAACAUUCCUUGGAUCCUCCCGGGAAUUCCCACCCCAAAUCCCGAUUUUUCCACCCAGAAUUCCCAGAAUUCCCAUUUUUCACCCAGAAUUCCCAUUUUUUCCACCCAGAAUUCCCGUUUUUUUCCACCCAGAAUUCCCAUUUUUCCCACCCCAAAUCCCAUUUUUUCCCCCAGAAUUCCCAUUUUUCCCCCAGAAUUCCCAUUUUUCCCUCCCAGAAUUCCCAGAAUUCCCAGAAUUCCCGGUUUUUCCCGUUUCUACCUCCUCAUCCUUGUACCAGGAGAGCGACUCCGCCGUCAGCACGAACCAACAUUCCUUGGAUCCUCCCGGGAAUUCCCACCCCAAAUCCCGAUUUUUCCACCCAGAAUUCCCAGAAUUCCCAUUUUUCACCCAGAAUUCCCAUUUUUUCCACCCAGAAUUCCCAGAAUUCUCAUUUUUUCCCCCAGAAUUCCCAUUUUUCCACCCAGAAUUCCCAUUCCACCCAGAAUUCCCAGAAUUCCCAGAAUUCCCAUUUUUCCCUCCCAGAAUUCCCAGAAUUCCCAGAAUUCCCGGUUUUUCCCGUUUCUACCUCCUCAUCCUCGUACCAGGAGAGCGACUCCGCCGUCAGCACGAACCAACAUUCCUUGGAUCCUCCCGGGAAUUCCCACCCCAAAUCCCGUUUUUUCCCCCCAAAUCCCAAUUUUCCACCCAGAAUUCCCAGAAUUCUCAUUUUUCCACCCAGAAUUCCCAUUUUUCCCCCAGAAUUCCCAUUUUUCCACCCAGAAUUCCCGGAAUUCCCGUUUUUUCCCCCAGAAUUCCUGGAAUUCCCGGCUCUACCUCCUCAUCCUUGUACCAGGAGAGCGACUCCGCCCUCAGCACGAACCAACAUUCCUUGGAUCCUCCCGGGAAUUCCCACCCCAAAUCCCGUUUUUUCCCCCAGAAUUCCCAUUUUUCCACCCAGAAUUCCCAGAAUUUCCAUUUUUCCACCCAGAAUUCCCAUUUUUCCCCCAGAAUUCCCGUUUUUUCCACCCAGAAUUCCCAUUUUUCCCACCCCAAAUCCCGUUUUUUCCACCCAGAAUUCCCAGAAUUCCCUCCCAGAAUUCCCGGAAUUCCCAUUUUUCCACCCGGAAUUCCCGGUUUUUCCCGUUUCUACCUCCUCAUCCUUGUACCAGGAGAGCGACUCCGCCGUCAGCACGAACCAACAUUCCUUGGAUCCUCCCGGGAAUUCCCACCCCAAAUCCCGUUUUUUCCCCCCAAAUCCCAAUUUUCCACACAGAAUUCCCAGAAUUCCCAUUUUUCACCCAGAAUUCCCAUUUUUCCCACCCAAAAUCCCAUUUUUUCCCCCAGAAUUCCCAUUUUUCCCACCCAGAAUUCCCAGAAUUCCCAUUUUUCCACCCAGAAUUCCCAUUUUCCCCACCCCAAAUCCCAUUUUUUCCCCCAGAAUUCCCAUUUUCCACCCAGAAUUCCCGUUUUUUCCACCCAGAAUUCCCAGAAUUCCCAUUUUUCCACCCGGAAUUCCUGGUUUUUCCCGUUUCUACCUCCUCAUCCUUGUACCAGGAGAGCGACUCCGCCCUCAGCACGAACCAACAUUCCUUGGAUCCUCCCGGGAAUUCCCACCCCAAAUCCCGAUUUUUCCACCCAGACACCCAGAAUUCCCAGAAUUCCCAUUUUUCACCCAGAAUUCCCAUUUUUUCCACCCAGAAUUCCCAGAAUUCUCAUUUUUUCCCCCAGAAUUCCCAUUUUUCCACCCAGAAUUCCCAUUCCACCCAGAAUUCCCAGAAUUCCCAGAAUUCCCAUUUUUCCCUCCCAGAAUUCCCAGAAUUCCCAGAAUUCCCGGUUUUUCCCGUUUCUACCUCCUCAUCCUCGUACCAGGAGAGCGACUCCGCCGUCAGCACGAACCAACAUUCCUUGGAUCCUCCCGGGAAUUCCCACCCCAAAUCCCGUUUUUUCCCCCAGAAUUCCCAGAAUUCCCACCCAGAAUUCCCAGAAUUCCCGGAAUUCCCAUUUUUCCACCCAGAAUUCCCGGAACUCCCAGAAUUCCCACCCCAAAUCCCAUUUUUCCACCCAGAAUUCCCAUUUUCCCUCCCAGAAUUCCCAGAAUUCCCAUUUUUCCACCCAGAAUUCCCAUUUUUCCCACCCCAAAUCCCAUUUUUUCCCCCAGAAUUCCCAGAAUUCCCGUUUUUUCACCCAGAAUUCCCAGAAUUCCCGGAAUUCCCGGCCCUACCUCCUCAUCCUUGUACCAGGAGAGCGACUCCGCCGUCAGCACGAACCAACAUUCCUUGGAUCCUCCCGUUUUUUCCACCCAGAAUUCCCAUUUUUCCACCCAGAAUUCCCAUUUUUCCCACCCCAAAUCCCAUUUUUUCCCCCAGAAUUCCCAUUUUCCACCCAGAAUUCCCAUUUUUCACCCCGUUUUUUCCCCCAGAAUUCCCAUUUUUCCCUCCCAGAAUUCCCAGAAUUCCCGGAAUUCCCGGAAUUCCCGGUUUUUCCCGUUUCUACCUCCUCAUCCUUGUACCAGGAGAGCGACUCCGCCGUCAGCACGAACCAAUAUUCCUUGGAUCCCCCCUUCAUGAUGCUGAUGUUGUUGAUGGUCAGCCACCCCCUCCGGAUCACCUGGAACGUUCCGGAAUCUCCGGGAUCCCGCUCCGGGAUCGCCCCAAAUCCCUCCCCCCUCCCCCACCCCGGGGAGAUCCCGAAUCCCGGCGGGAUCGGCAAAGGGAUCCCGGAAUUCCGGGGGGAUCUCGGUGGGAAUCGCGGAAUUCUGGGGGGAUCCCGGAAUUCUGGGGGAAAUCCUGGAAUUCUGGGGGGAUCCCGAUGGGAAAUCCGGAAUUCUGGGGGAAAUCCUGGAAUUCUGGGGGAAAUCCCAGAAUUCUGGGGGAAUCCUGGAAUUCUGGGGGGAUCCUGGUGGGAAUCGAGGAAUUCUGGGGGGAUCCCGAUGGGAAAUCCUGGAAUUCUGGGGGAAAUCACGGAAUUCUGGGGGGAUCCCGGUGGGAAUUGCGGAAUUCUGGGGGAAAUCCCGGAAUUCUGGGGGAAAUCCCGAUGGGAAUUCCAGAAUUCUGGGGGAAAUCCCGGAAUUCUGGGGGAAUCCCGAUGGGAAUCCCGGAAUUCUGGGGGAAAUCCUGGAAUUCUGGGGGAAAUCCUGGUGGGAAAUCCUGGAAUUCUGGGGGAAUCCUGGUGGGAAAUCCUGGAAUUCUGGGGGAAUCCUGAUGGGAAUUCUGGAAUUCUAGGGAAAUCCUGGAAUUCCGGGGGGAUCCCGAUGGGAAAUCCGGAAUUCUGGGGGAAAUCCCGGAAUUUUGGGGGGAUCCCGAUGGGAAUUCCGGAAUUCUGGGGGAAAUCCUGGUGGGAAAUCCUGGAAUUCUGGGGGAAAUCCCGAUGGGAAUUCCGGAAUUCUGGGGGAAAUCCUGGAAUUCUGGGGGGAUCCUGAAGGGAAAUCCUGGAAUUCUGGGUUGAUCCCGAUGGGAAAUCCUGGAAUUCUGGGGGGAUCCUGAUGGGAAAUCCUGGAAUUCUGGGGGGAUCCCGAUGGGAAUUCUGGAAUUCUGGGGGGAUCCCAGAAUUCCAGGGGGAUCCCGGUGGGAAAUCCCGGAAUUCUGGGGGAAAUCCCGGAACUCCGGGGGGAUCCCGGUGGGAAUUGCGGAAUUCUGGGGGAAAUCCUGGAAUUCUGGGGGGAUCCCGGUGGGAAUUCCGGAAUUUUGGGGGAAAUCCUGGAAUUCUGGGGGAAAUCCCGGAAUUCUGGGGGGAUCCCGAUGGGAAUUCCGGAAUUCUUGGGGAAUCCUGGGGGGAAUUGUGGGAUGGUGG